GUUGACCUCGGAUCAGGUAGGACUACCCGCUGAACUUAAGCAUAUCAAUAAGCGGAGGAAAAGA
rnacentral:rRNA from 1 species